AGUGGAGAUUCAUGUUAAACAACCCCAAGAGAUACAAACCACACACCACACUUCAAAAGAAGUGAUAUUUGGCCCUCGCUAUCCUACCAUGGAUGUAAAAGAGCCCCCCAUGGAAAUCCCACUGACAGGAUUACGGGAUGACAAUGAAGAUAUUCCUCGAAACCUGUUUUUCCAACCAAUACCAC